rnacentral:rRNA from 1 species
AUCAGCCUUUUGGGUGUGAUUUUGUGGAGUGUGAAGAGUUAAACGCCUUCAUGCCUGCAUAUUCGUGCACUUUGGGUGUACUUGCCCGUGUGGUUGGUUAACAUCAAUUUUGGUGGUCAUAAAAUGACUGGAGGAAUGUAGCUUCGAUCUCGUAUUGAAGUAUUAUAGCCUUCGGUAGAUGUGAUGAUCGAGAUUGAGGAUUGCAACGGAUACCCUUCGGGGCUACCUGUCUGGUCUCUGAUCGUUGCUCUGGUGCCGAAAGCUUGCUUACGGUUAUCAAAGUCGAUGGUCAAUAGGUUAGAAUGGGUUAAAUUCGUUAAGGAUGUUGACGUAAUGGCUUU